rnacentral:ncRNA from 1 species
GGGUGUUUUUCAGGAGAGCAUUGCAAAAAAGCAAUCACCGAAGGCGUAAUGUUGUAAAUCCCAAGCCAUUUUUUGGGAUUUGAAACCCCCUAUAAUCGCUCAGGUAACAAGGACUGAAAGACUUAA